AACUAACGCUGGCGGCGUGCCUAACACAUGCAAGUCGAACGAGAAAGUUGGCUUCGGCCGAUGAGUAAAGUGGCGCACGGGUGAGUAACGCGUGGAUAAUCUGCCCUUUAGUUUGGAAUAACGUACCGAAAGGUGCGCUAAUACCGGAUAAUACUGAAUGACUACUGUCGUUUAGUCAAAGAAGGCUUCUGUUUACAUGCUUUUGCUGAAGGAUGAGUCCGCGUACCAUUAGCUAGUUGGUAGGGUAAUGGCCUACCAAGGCGACGAUGGUUAGCUGGUCUGAGAGGAUGAUCAGCCACACUGGAACUGAGACACGGUCCAGACUCCUACGGGAGGCAGCAGUGAGGAAUAUUGCGCAAUGGGGGCAACCCUGACGCAGCAACGCCGCGUGAGUGAGGAAGGUUUUCGGACCGUAAAGCUCUGUCGAGCGGGAAGAAAUGCAUGGUGGCUAAUAUCCAUCAAUGCUUGACGGUACCGCUAAAGGAAGCACC
rnacentral:rRNA from 1 species